GACGAACGCUGGCGGCGUGCCUAAUACAUGCAAGUCGAACGAACUCUGGUAUUGAUUGGUGCUUGCAUCAUGAUUUACAUUUGAGUGAGUGGCGAACUGGUGAGUAACACGUGGGAAACCUGCCCAGAAGCGGGGGAUAACACCUGGAAACAGAUGCUAAUACCGCAUAACAACUUGGACCGCAUGGUCCGAGCUUGAAAGAUGGCUUCGGCUAUCACUUUUGGAUGGUCCCGCGGCGUAUUAGCUAGAUGGUGGGGUAACGGCUCACCAUGGCAAUGAUACGUAGCCGACCUGAGAGGGUAAUCGGCCACACUGGGACUGAGACACGGCCCAAACUCCUACGGGAGGCAGCAGUAGGGAAUCUUCCACAAUGGACGAAAGUCUGAUGGAGCAACGCCGCGUGAGUGAAGAAGGGUUUCGGCUCGUAAAACUCUGUUGUUAAAGAAGAACAUAUCUGAGAGUAACUGUUCAGGUAUUGACGGUAUUUAACCAGAAAGCCACGGCUAACUACGUGCCAGCAGCCGCGGUAAUACGUAGGUGGCAAGCGUUGUCCGGAUUUAUUGGGCGUAAAGCGAGCGCAGGCGGUUUUUUAAGUCUGAUGUGAAAGCCUUCGGCUCAACCGAAGAAGUGCAUCGGAAACUGGGAAACUUGAGUGCAGAAGAGGACAGUGGAACUCCAUGUGUAGCGGUGAAAUGCGUAGAUAUAUGGAAGAACACCAGUGGCGAAGGCGGCUGUCUGGUCUGUAACUGACGCUGAGGCUCGAAAGUAUGGGUAGCAAACAGGAUUAGAUACCCUGGUAGUCCAUACCGUAAACGAUGAAUGCUAAGUGUUGGAGGGUUUCCGCCCUUCAGUGCUGCAGCUAACGCAUUAAGCAUUCCGCCUGGGGAGUACGGCCGCAAGGCUGAAACUCAAAGGAAUUGACGGGGGCCCGCACAAGCGGUGGAGCAUGUGGUUUAAUUCGAAGCUACGCGAAGAACCUUACCAGGUCUUGACAUACUAUGCAAAUCUAAGAGAUUAGACGUUCCCUUCGGGGACAUGGAUACAGGUGGUGCAUGGUUGUCGUCAGCUCGUGUCGUGAGAUGUUGGGUUAAGUCCCGCAACGAGCGCAACCCUUAUUAUCAGUUGCCAGCAUUAAGUUGGGCACUCUGGUGAGACUGCCGGUGACAAACCGGAGGAAGGUGGGGAUGACGUCAAAUCAUCAUGCCCCUUAUGACCUGGGCUACACACGUGCUACAAUGGAUGGUACAACGAGUUGCGAACUCGCGAGAGUAAGCUAAUCUCUUAAAGCCAUUCUCAGUUCGGAUUGUAGGCUGCAACUCGCCUACAUGAAGUCGGAAUCGCUAGUAAUCGCGGAUCAGCAUGCCGCGGUGAAUACGUUCCCGGGCCUUGUACACACCGCCCGUCACACCAUGAGAGUUUGUAACACCCAAAGUCGGUGGGGUAACCUUUUAGGAACCAGCCGCCUAAGGUGGGACAGAUGAUUAGGGUG
rnacentral:rRNA from 1 species